rnacentral:rRNA from 1 species
UACGGAGGUCUCAAGCGUUGUUCGGAUUCAUUGGGCGUAAAGGGUGCGUAGGCGGCGUGGUAAGUCGGAUGUGAAAUCUCGGAGCUUAACUCCGAAACUGCAUUCGAUACUGCCGUGCUUGAGGACUGGAGAGGAGACUGGAAUUUACGGUGUAGCGGUGAAAUGCGUAGAUAUCGUAAGGAAGACCAGUGGCGAAGGCGGGUCUCUGGACAGUUCCUGACGCUGAGGCACGAAGGCCAGGGGAGCAAACGGG